UACGUAGGGUGCAAGCGUUGUCCGGAAUUAUUGGGCGUAAAGAGCUCGUAGGCGGUUUGUCGCGUCUGCUGUGAAAACUCGGGGCUUAACCCCGGGCCUGCAGUGGGUACGGGCAGACUAGAGUGCGGUAGGGGAGACUGGAAUUCCUGGUGUAGCGGUGAAAUGCGCAGAUAUCAGGAGGAACACCGGUGGCGAAGGCGGGUCUCUGGGCCGUAACUGACGCUUAGGAGCGAAAGCGUGGGGAGCGAACAGG
rnacentral:rRNA from 1 species